GUGCUCAUUCUGGCAGCACACAGACUAAAAUUGGAAUGAUACAGAGAAGAUGAGCAUGGCCCCUACACAAGGACGACAUGCAAAUUCACAAAGUGUUUCAUACUUUU
ensembl:snRNA U6 U6 spliceosomal RNA